rnacentral:rRNA from 1 species
GGCCGCGGGAAUUCGAUUCAGGCCUAACACAUGCAAGUCGAACGGCAGCACAGGAGAGCUUGCUCUCUGGGUGGCGAGUGGCGGACGGGUGAGGAAUACAUCGGAAUCUACCCUUUCGUGGGGGAUAACGUAGGGAAACUUACGCUAAUACCGCAUACGAUCUGAGGAUGAAAGCAGGGGACCGCAAGGCCUUGCGCGAUUGGAUGAGCCGAUGUCCGAUUAGCUAGUUGGCGGGGUAAAGGCCCACCAAGGCGACGAUCGGUAGCUGGUCUGAGAGGAUGAUCAGCCACACUGGAACUGAGACACGGUCCAGACUCCUACGGGAGGCAGCAGUGGGGAAUAUUGGACAAUGGGGGCAGCCCUGAUCCAUCAAGGCCGCGUGUGUGAAGAAGGCCUUCGGGUGUAAACCAAAAGGUUGGGAAAGAAAUCCGUCGGCCAAUACCCGGC